rnacentral:rRNA from 1 species
AACGUAGGUGGCAAGCGUUAUCCGGAUUUACUGGGCGUAAAGGGUGUGCAGGCGGGGUAGCAAGUGGUGUGUGAAAUCUCCGGGCUUAACCUGGAGGGGUUAUGCCAGACUGCUGCUCUAGAGGACGAGAGAGGGGGGUGGAAUUCCGGGUGUAGCGGUGGAAUGCGUAGAUAUCUGGAGGAACACCGGUGGCGAAGGCGGCAUCCUGGACCGGCAUUGACGCUGAGGCGCGAAAGCCAGGGGAGCAAACGGG